UAUAUUGACUCGCCUACCAAUUCAAUAGAAUCAGUCAAUGAUCCAAUAGGAAAAACAUCGAACCUCAGAAGUUAACCUGCAUAAUAUUGCAGAAUAAUAAGAAUUAUAAGAACAGACGUAUAUUUUAAUCAAAUAUUUAUUAGCCUUUGAACCAUUGAAAUCUUUGAUAUAAAUAAGAAUUGUUACGUUGCAUCGCGAAAAAAUGAAAUUACUAUGAUGUGAGAAGGUCGGUUUUCUCGGUUUUAUUUAAUUGAUGUAGU